GACGUAGGGCGCGAGCGUUGUCCGGAUUUAUUGGGCGUAAAGAGCUCGUAGGCGGCUUGUCGCGUCGUGUGUGAAAUCUCAGGGCUCAACUCUGACAUUGCAUACGAUACGGGCAGGCUUGAGUUCGGUAGGGGAGACUGGAAUUCCUGGUGUAGCGGUGAAAUGCGUAGAUAUUGGGAGGAACACCAGUGGCGAAGGGCGGCUCACUGGACCGGAACUGACGCUGAGGCGCGAAAGCGUGGGGAGCAAACGGGG
rnacentral:rRNA from 1 species